rnacentral:rRNA from 1 species
GAUGAACGCGGCGGCGUGCUUAACACAUGCAAGUCGAACGAAGCUGCUUAAAGGAAGUUUUCGGAUGGAAUUUAGGUAGACUUAGUGGCGGACGGGUGAGUAACGCGUGGAUAACCUGCCUUAUACAGGGGGAUAACGGAGAGAAAUUUCCGCUAACACCGCAUAAGACCACAGCACCGCAUGGUGCAGGGGUAAAAUAUUUAUAGGUAUAAGAUGGAUCCGCGUCCGAUUAGCUAGUUGGUGAGGUAGAGGCUCACCAAGGCGACGAUCGGUAGCCGGCCUGAGAGGGUGAACGGCCACAUUGGGACUGAGACACGGCCCAAACUCCUACGGGAGGCAGCAGUGGGGAAUAUUGGACAAUGGGGGAAACCCUGAUCCAGCGACGCCGCGUGAGUGAAGAAGUAUUUCGGUAUGUAAAGCUCUAUCAGCAGGGAAGAAAAUGAACGGUACCUGACUAAAGAAGCCCCGGCA